AAGUCGUAACAAGGUUUCCGUAGGUGAACCUGCGGAAGGAUCAUUAACACGUCUAAUCAAUACCAUCACGUGAACAAUUCUAAGCUUUUGCAUUGCAACCAGGAGUCUCGUACAAAUGUUUGCUUUGCGAUGCUUUCUCUGCUAUCUUCUUCGGAAGAAAGUGGAGGCGGCGCCAGUAUACUUCAGUAUCUAGUUACCGCUAGUAUUGGAAUAUGCUGCCGUUGCUUUUCCUAUCCUAUUUACCUGUAAUAUGAAUGUGAAUAUCACGACCAAAAUAUAACACUUUCAACAGUGGAUAUCUUGGCUCCCA
rnacentral:misc_RNA from 1 species